rnacentral:tRNA from 1 species
AAUGCUAAAGCAAAAUGCCUUAACUUGCAAAGUUAAAUAAUAUAGGUUAAAAUCCUAUUAGCAUCU